UAGCCGGGCGGGUGCUUACAAUGCAGUCGACGAUGAAGCCCAGCUUGCUGGGUGGAUUAGUGGCGAACGGGUGAGUAACACGUGAGUAACCUGCCCUUGACUCUGGGAUAAGCCUGGGAAACUGGGUCUAAUACUGGAUAUGACCUCUUGCCGCAUGGUGGGAGGUGGAAAGAUUUAUUGGUCUUGGAUGGACUCGCGGCCUAUCAGCUUGUUGGUGAGGUAAUGGCUCACCAAGGCGACGACGGGUAGCCGGCCUGAGAGGGUGACCGGCCACACUGGGACUGAGACACGGCCCAGACUCCUACGGGAGGCAGCAGUGGGGAAUAUUGCACAAUGGGCGCAAGCCUGAUGCAGCGACGCCGCGUGAGGGAUGACGGCCUUCGGGUUGUAAACCUCUUUCAGCAGGGAAGAAGCGAAAGUGACGGUACCUGCAGAAGAAGCGCCGGCUAACUACGUGCCAGCAGCCGCGGUAAUACGUAGGGCGCGAGCGUUAUCCGGAAUUAUUGGGCGUAAAGAGCUCGUAGGCGGUUUGUCGCGUCUGCCGUGAAAGUCCGGGGCUUAACUCCGGAUCUGCGGUGGGUACGGGCAGACUAGAGUGCAGUAGGGGAGACUGGAAUUCCUGGUGUAGCGGUGAAAUGCGCAGAUAUCAGGAGGAACACCGAUGGCGAAGGCAGGUCUCUGGGCUGUAACUGACGCUGAGGAGCGAAAGCAUGGGGAGCGAACAGGAUUAGAUACCCUGGUAGUCCAUGCCGUAAACGUUGGGCACUAGGUGUGGGGGACAUUCCACGUUUUCCGCGCCGUAGCUAACGCAUUAAGUGCCCCGCCUGGGGAGUACGG
rnacentral:rRNA from 1 species